UGGGUAGUCCUACUAUUGUUGUGACUCUCUGGCAAGGCAGGGGUAUGGAAGCCAGACAUGGGGCAAAGACACAAGAUGAAGAGGGAAGGCUGAGAUUCCACUUCCAGUCUUUUGUGUCUUUCAAUGUAGCACAUAGGACAAUCAUGGCUUUAUGGAAGGCCAGAUCGUUGUCUCCUGAACAAAAGGUGCAAAUAGUUGAAGAAGAAUCAGAAGCUAAAAUCCCCCAAAAUGAAGAAAGUGAGCCCUUCUUGGGUCUUGAGGAUGUUAAUCUAUCUGAGGUUUAUUCUUCUGGUGUUUCUGCCCCGACCAAUUUCUUAAUGGAGCUGUUCAAUGGGGGUGAGUUGGAGCGAAAAGCGAUGGAGAAAGCUGGUUGUCUUAACUAUUCCUAUACCCCAUGGGAAUUGGAGAAGGAUGAUGUGUAUGAGAGGCAAAUAUAUUACAGAUUUGAUCAGCAAAUCUCCCGUUACAGAGGAGAGGUGACAAGUACACAGCAGAAGUACCCCCUAUCCGAUCGUAAAGGCUGGCUUGUGGAAGAGGUUAUGACUCUCCAUGGAGUUCCACUUGGUGACAAUUUUAAUCUUCACUUGAGAUACCAAAUUGAGGAUGUGCCUUCGAGACCCAAAGGAUGUCAUGUACACGUAUUCAUUGGAAUUGCAUGGCAGACAAGAACUAAGCAUCACAAAAGGACUACAAAGAACAAACAUCCUCUCAAAUUUGGAAGAUCGAAUGAAGGUGAUUUUUAGUGUUAUUGAGAGGGAAUUUUUGAACAGAUAGGAAUGUGCACUGCUGUAAUGUUGACACUCUGGACGACUUGAAGGAGCAGGUUGAUUAUCCAACUUCUGCUUUCUGCAACAAAAAUAUUGUGUCCAUUUUCUUCCUGCUCACGCGUUAGUAUGACAUUUCUUGAUUGUGCAUUCAUCCACAUGUUCCUUCAAGAAUUAUUUUGCAUAGCUAUUGUGGCUCUAGUUUAUUCUGAGAAAUCCUAAACUCAAAUGGGAAACAUGACCUGGUGAUUCUUUGACAUGGGACUUCAGAGUUCAACUCAAGGUUUGUUCACAGAACAUGCCAAAAUGAUUAAGCUCCUCGCUAACUGGCACUUUAGGUGGUAGCAGAAGAAUUACAGAUAUUAUUUCUUAAUGUACUGAAGCCAGAAUCCAGUUGGCUUAGAGAAAUUUUGCAAGUGUAUAGAAGAGANNNNAUUUUGUUGAUGAAAUAUGUUUAUAAAACCGUAUAGAAGCAAUGCUUUUUUUUUUCAACAAAUUCAAUAAGAUGAACAACAUUCAAUGAGCUAACAAAAUAAAG
rnacentral:misc_RNA from 1 species